GCUUACGGCCAUGCCACCCUGAGCACGCCCGAUCUUGUCUGAUCUCGGAAGCUAAGCAGGGUCGGGCCUGGUUAGUACUUGGAUGGGAGACCGCCUGGGAAUACCAGGUGCUGUAAGCU
rnacentral:rRNA from 1 species